UUGGCUAAAAAGUUUGUUUGGGUUUUUCCAUACUACCUUGCAGAAAAAUCCGAACAAACUUUUUGACGAACCCA
rnacentral:miRNA from 1 species